rnacentral:rRNA from 1 species
AGCGAACGCUGGCGGCGGGCUUAACACAUGCAAGUCGAGCGGGCAUCCUUGGGGUGUCAGCGGCAGACGGGUGAGGAACGCGUGGGAACGUGCCCUUCGGUUUGGAAUAACUCAUGGGAACUUGAGCUAAUACCGGGUACGAUCGCGAGCAGAAAGGUUUAUCUGCCGAGGGAUCGGCCCGCGUCUGAUUGGCUGGGUGGUGAGGUGAUGGCUCACCGAGUAGACGUGGGGUAGCUGGUUUGAGAGGAUGUCAAGCGGCACUGGGACUGGGACACGGCCCAGACUCGUACGGGACGGAGCAGUGGGGAAUAUUGUACACGGGGGGCAACUCUAGUAACGCCACGCCGCGUGAGAGAUGCCGGCCUUAGGAUUGUAAAGCCCCUUUUUCCGGGACGAGAAUGACGGUACCGGAGGAAUAAGCCCCGGCUAACUACGUG